rnacentral:rRNA from 1 species
UACGUAGGGCGCAAGCGUUGUCCGGAAUUAUUGGGCGUAAAGAGCUCGUAGGCGGUUUGUCGCGUCUGUCGUGAAAGCUUGGGGCUUAACCCCAAGUCUGCGGUGGAUACGGGCAGACUAGAGGCAGGUAGGGGAGAACGGAAUUCCCGGUGUAGCGGUGAAAUGCGCAGAUAUCGGGAGGAACACCGGUGGCGAAGGCGGUUCUCUGGGCCUGUACUGACGCUGAGGAGCGAAAGCCAGGGGAGCAAACGGG